GCCUUCGUGGUGUGAUGGUCAGCACACUGAGCCGGUAAUUCAGAGGUCCGCGGUUCGAUUCCCGGCGAAGGCG
rnacentral:tRNA from 1 species